GCAAACUAGACGAGAACUGAGAGGUAGGAGACAGUCUGGUAUUUUUCCAAACAAGGAAGUGAGCACUGAAAUCCUGGUUGCAGGGAUGGGAGGAGAGGAUGCCCUCGGAGAGGUGCCAGCAUGCUCAUCCCUAUCAAUCUCAACAAUAAACACCUGUUCAUCCACUAUACAUUUUUCAGAUCACCAAACUCUUGCAUGAAUGUGGUUUCUGAAGGGAAGCGAGCUGGUUCCAAGAAAUGAAGUAAGCUAAACAGCUCUUCUACAGUGUUCUGUAAUGGGGU